UUACUUGUGUUCCAGUUCGCUCCAUCUGAUUCUCUUUCCGGUAACGGACACCGACGGCGACGGACCACCGUUUUGUGGCGGCUGGACUUCGACCUGACUCGCCGGAGUGUUGGCAACCUCCGGUGAGGAGUGUUCCGCCUGCGACGCGGCCACAGCCGGAGUCUGUUGCGGCGGCGAGUGCUGUUGGACGGUUGCGGACACCAGAGGAACCUGAUUCCGGCGAAUUGACGGAGUGUGGGGAGCGUCGUUGCGUUGCGGCGGUGAUUGAUCGGUGAGAUUCAAAAAUUGGAUGUGUGCGGCGUUCAUGUUCUCCAUCAGCGUCAUUGGAGCGGCCACAUCGCGCAGCUCAGGAAACGUGGCGAAGAGUGUCUCCGCUUCGUCUUCGUAACUCUUCUCAGCCAUUCUUGUCUUCGUACAAAUUCUGGCUUUCAACUACUCCUCUUUAUACACUUAAUCUUUGAAGAACAAGGCGCCAAGUUGUAACAGUGGGAGUUCUUGGUGGAUCUGACCUUGUUAAAGAUAUCUGAGCAACAUGGGAAGACAGGUUAGCUAUAUAACUCUAUGGUUUCUGAGAGCAUAAUGUUAAACAUCUUGGAGGCCACUUUGAGAAAAUUGACGUUAUAUUAUACUAAAUUGAUUUCACCUUGUAUUUUCUCUUUCUUUUUCUUGUGUGUUGUAUCCCAGCCUCUAAAACUUGCUGUCAGAGAUACAUUGAUGAUUUCAAUGAAAUUCACUUUUUUGGUGACAAAGUUAAUUUA